UCCAGAGGGGGCCAGCGUUAUUCGGCAUUAUUGGGCGUAAAGGGCGCGUAGGCGGCCAUGCGUGUCUUCCGUGAAAUCCCUCGGCUUAACUGAGGACGUGCGGAAGAAACUGCAAGGCUCGAGUCCGGGAGAGGGGGGUGGAAUUCCCAGUGUAGCGGUGAAAUGCGUAGAUAUUGGGAGGAACACCGGUGGCGAAGGCGGCCCCCUGGACCGGUACUGACGCUGAGGCGCGAAAGCGUGGGUAGCAAACGGG
rnacentral:rRNA from 1 species